GUAUGUAUGUAUGUAUUUGGGAUAUCUUUAUAUAUAAUGCAAUUCAUCUAAUGCAUGUUUAACAGUCACAAUAAACAGAGUUAUAUCUCUUUAAUCCAGUUUAAACUACUCAUCUCGAGUCAAAUGUAUUAUACAGCACCUUCAAAACCUUCUUUACAGAAUAUAGAAGAAAGGAGUAAAAAAAAAAAAAAUUGAAGAUAAAGAAGGGACAAACGGAUCAUCCAGACUCAAAUGCAAGAUGAAAUAGAUUAAAGGGGGAAAAAAAGUUUUCUACUUAGAUUUACCAGCGUCAUAAUGUUGUAAGGCGUGUUUUGUCGAAACAACUGAGAUAUCUGAUCGGUCUGGUUCGUAAAGCUGUUUUACGGCCCGGUUUUACAGGGGAUUUAAUGAAAUAACUCCUAGCUUGUCAUUCUGUUUAACUCGAUCGAUUGCUUUAAUCCUCGUGUUUGACAUUUAACAGCUGUUUGUUCUGUAAGUUGUAGUUGGGGAGUUUGUGCUUCCUGUUAGGCAGCUUGCCAGAGAGUCCAGUUUUGUCUGACCGGACGUCUUUUCCUGACUAUGCAGGUUCUGUUUAGAUAAAAUGGAUGAAUAAAAACAUAUAUAAUAUUCUAUAUGUUGUCAUUUAAGCUUUGAUUGAUAUUCGGGCAGACUUCCUUUACUGAUAAUAGUGAAUAUGAAUCCUGCCUGGCUGACUUGUUUGUUUUGCUUCCUGGUUAGACUCGUUAGUCAAUACAAUGGGGCGGCUUGAACGGCGCUUUGAGAUGACUCCUGGUUUCAUAUGUUUGUACACAGACUUCAAAAAUCAUGGAUUUGUUUUUGGAUGUUUUGCGUUGCCGGGCCAUGAUUAGAACUGGGAUAAAGCUUUAAGAGUAAAGACUCCGGGCUGUUUGACGAACGCUGUUUUCCGAGCCCGUGAGAGGUUCUGAAGAGAUCUGAUCCCCGAUCAACCGUCAGGUCUGGAAGCUGUUCGUACUCACGGCGGACACGUACCGGGUAACGUGAUUGGUUCAACUUGUCUAGUAGAACUCCGGUUCUACUUUCAUAUUAUUGAUAUACAGCUGACAGUACACGGACGCCUGACUGUCGGUCCUGUAUGUGCUUGUUGAACAUCCCGUUCCUCUUUUUUGUUGUUAUAAUAAGCUCCACUCUUCUGGGAAGGCUUUCCACUAGAUUUUGGGGCGUGGCUGUGGGGAUUUGUGCUCAUUCAGCUACAAGAGCGUUGGUGAGGAGGCUCCAGUUCUUCCCAAAGGUGUUCAGUGGGGUUGAGGUCAGGUCUCUCGAGUUCUUCCACUCCAACAUUGGGAAACCGUGUCUUCAUGGAACUCAUUGUCAUGCUGGAACAGGUUCCAGUGAAGGGAAAUUGUAAUCCUGCAGCAUACAAAGACAUUCUAUACGAUUGUGUGCUUCAACUUUGUAGCAACAGUAUGGGGAAGAACCACAAAAUAAAAAAUAAAAAAACUGCAUGGAAUUGCAAAUCGAGCCACGGUUCGGACUCAGUUCUUCUAUGCGAAUGCAAACCUACGAUUUUGAGCCCCGCCCACAGACUGAAUCCAGAAACAGUACUAAGUGCAGACAGCAAAUGCUUUUUAAAAUUUUUUUUAUUUUUAUUUUUUCUCCUCUCUCCCCUUCCUGGCAGUGCCUCCACACAUUGUGGCUCAGGUGGUAGAGCGGGUUGUCCACUAAUCGUGGGGUUGGCGGUUUGAUUCCCGGCCCACAUGACUCCACAUACUGAAGUGUCCUUGGACAAGACACUGAACCCCAAGUUGCUCCCGAUGACCAGCCAGAGCCUCGCCUUUACACAGUGUAAAGUUCUUUGUAGAACCGCUAAGCUUAAAAAUCGCUAAAUAAGUGCAGGCCAUUUACACGCCGGGUAUUACUAUCGGUCCGUUUGAAUCGAACCCUGGUGUGUUUUCGCCCUCGGCGCGGUUCUUUCGUCACACGAGCAGUCGUUUCCGAGAGUGUCUGAGCGAGGUGAUCUGGACACGCUUCUGAUCAAACUCGAUUGCAGCGAGCCGACUCUGAAUCAGUUGCAGGAAGUGAAUCAAACCCCACGCGUUUUGGUCGCACUGUAGUAGUGUUUUAUUUUCCCUACACGGUCGCUGCUAAACUGAGCCAAAGGUCAGAGCUGUAGCGCUACAGAAAUGCCACGUGCUCUGAAGAUUCAGACGAAGACAAAAAGAGAAAAUAAUUGCUGGGUGUGACAAAACUGACUUCACUUAGAUAUUUCUAGAGCUAUCUAACCAUUUAUUUAGCUCUAUCUCCCUGUUCAUGUGAUUUAAAAAUAAAUAAAUAAAUAAAUUAUAGUGGCUUCUGCGCAGACAAAAACCUAUAUCUGACCAACGAACGAAAGAGUUUCACGAACACGAGCCAGAAGUGUCAAUUUCUCUCUGAUUCAGACUCGGCGAAAUACCUCAUAGGUGUGAAAGUGCUCCUGAUGGUUAUAUUGAAGGAAAAGUUCAGUGUUUUUCCUUUCAUUCUGCCGCCAUGUUUUUUUCCGGACGGAUCUUCUUGUUUCUCCUUUCUUCUAAUCGCCGAGUUACAGUGACCGUUUCAUAUCUAGAUACGGUCACGCUUCUAUAUCGGGCCGUAGGACCGUCAUCAAUAAGGAUUAGUGAGCCUGUUCCAGAAGCAGCCAUGCAAGCCCCAAGCCAUGACACUACCUCCACUGUGUUUCAUAGACGAGCUUGUACAUUUUGGAUCACGAGCCGAUCCUUUCAGUGUCCACACUUUGACCUUUCCAUCACUUUUGGUAGAGCUUAAUAUUGGUCCCAGAACGUUUGUGGCUCUUCCCUGUAUUUCUUUAUGAAAUUCUGAUAGAUUUUUUCCCCCCUCUUUUCUCAGCUUCAAAACGGCUUCUCCCAUAGACAGCUCUCUGCUCUUCAUGUUGGUUUAUUUUUUUUUUAAACAUCUAUUAUUAUUUUGAUUAUACAGCAAAUGCCGUUUUCACAGGCUAAACCCAGGGCUCAAACCAAAA
ensembl:lncRNA